UCCCAGACUCCUACGGGAGGCAGCAGUGAGGAAUAUUGGUCAAUGGGCGGGAGCCUGAACCAGCCAAGCCGCGUGAGGGAAGAAGGUACAGCGUAUCGUAAACCUCUUUUGUCAGGGAACAAAGGCGGGGACUAGUCCCCGGAUGAGGGUACCUGAAGAAAAAGCAUCGGCUAACUCCGUGCCAGCAGCCGCGGUAAUACGGAGGAUGCGAGCGUUAUCCGGAUUUAUUGGGUUUAAAGGGUGCGCAGGCGGUCUGUUAAGUCAGCGGUAAAAGCCCGGGGCUCAACCCCGGUCCGCCGUUGAAACUGGCAGUCUCGAGUUGGAGAGAAGUAUGCGGAAUGCGCGGUGUAGCGGUGAAAUGCAUAGAUAUCGCGCAGAACUCCGAUUGCGAAGGCAGCAUGCCGGCUCCACACUGACGCUGAGGCACGAAAGCGUGGGUAUCGAACAGGAUUAGAUACCCGUGUAA
rnacentral:rRNA from 1 species